GAAGUAGCCCCGGAGAUUUCGAUAGUGGUAGUUAGUCCUGGUUUUAUAGACUCAGAGCUUACCCGAGGGAAACACCUAACCAAGAAGGGGGAAGUUGAAGUUGAUGAAAAACUAAUAAAGGCGGCUGGAGGAGUUGGAAUUCCAAUUGAGAGUACAGGGGACUGUGCAAAGGCUAUUGUGACUGGGGUGUGCCGCGGAGACAAAUACAUCACAGUGCCAUGGUUGUAUAGCAUGUUUUACCUCCUAAGGAUCUUCUGCCCUGAGCUGGUUGAAUGGUUUUCCAGCUCGCUGUACCGUACCAUGACUUGAGACUUGAUGAAACUAUGAGAUAUUAGAUGCCAAUGGACAGGUGAAGAUUCCUUAUAUAGAAUUUAUAGGUGAAAAGGACGUCCUCGUUGUAUUUAAGGAUGUUGUUAAAGAUGUCUUUAUAUAUCAUUGGACUAUGUCCAAUUAAUAAAUUAAGUUUUGGGUUAGUUCCCCCUUCUCAAGGUGUAUUUGUUAGACUUACUUUAUUUAACAAGAAGAGGAGUAGGUGCAUUGGCGAAUAAACUGGUUAUCUCCUUUGUAUUUUA